rnacentral:lncRNA from 1 species
GAGUUGAAAUACGACACGGCCCUUCGGCUGGCGGCGCUGCAGAUGUACAUCCUCACGAUCAGCACCAAGCAGUCACAGAAGGUUUCCCUCAAGUUCAUCGACUGACAGCGUUGCAAGCCCAGGUCCACUAUCUCAAGUACCUCAGAGACUUGAGACUAUACGAGGAUGGGUCUUCAAAUUCAUCUUUGUGCAAGGCGAGAAGCACACGGAGGUGACCCUUCUGAUAGGACAGCGCUACGGCAUCAGCCACGUCAUCAACCCCAAGACCAACCUGGGUGGCUCUGCUGGCUGACUUCAGCCACGUCAACGCAUCGAAUGUACUCAGAGGACGAGAAGAUGGUGCGGGUGGAGCUCCAUAUUCUGGUCGUGACGGUGAACGGAUUCCUUUAG